rnacentral:rRNA from 1 species
UUGGCGUGCUUAACACAUGCAAGUCGAACGGAAAGGCCCUGCUUUUGUGGGGUGCUCGAGUGGCGAACGGGUGAGUAACACGUGAGUAACCUGCCCUUGACUUUGGGAUAACUUCAGGAAACUGGGGCUAAUACCGGAUAGGAGCUCCUGCUGCAUGGUGGGGGUUGGAAAGUUUCGGCGGUUGGGGAUGGACUCGCGGCUUAUCAGCUUGUUGGUGGGGUAGUGGCUUACCAAGGCUUUGACGGGUAGCCGGCCUGAGAGGGUGACCGGCCACAUUGGGACUGAGAUACGGCCCAGACUCCUACGGGAGGCAGCAGUGGGGAAUAUUGCACAAUGGGCGGAAGCCUGAUGCAGCAACGCCGCGUGCGGGAUGACGGCCUUCGGGUUGUAAACCGCUUUCGCCUGUGACGAAGCGUGAGUGACGGUAAUGGGUAAAGAAGCACCGGCUAACUACGUGCCAGCAGCCGCGGUGAUACGUAGGGUGCGAGCGUUGUCCGGAUUUAUUGGGCGUAAAGGGCUCGUAGGUGGUUGAUCGCGUCGGAAGUGUAAUCUUGGGGCUUAACCCUGAGCGUGCUUUCGAUACGGGUUGACUUGAGGAAGGUAGGGGAGAAUGGAAUUCCUGGUGGAGCGGUGGAAUGCGCAGAUAUCAGGAGGAACACCAGUGGCGAAGGCGGUUCUCUGGGCCUUUCCUGACGCUGAGGAGCGAAAGCGUGGGGAGCGAACAGGCUUAGAUACCCUGGUAGUCCACGCUGUAAACGGUGGGUACUAGGUGUGGGGUCCAUUCCACGGGUUCCGUGCCGUAGCUAACGCUUUAAGUACCCCGCCUGGGGAGUACGGCCGCAAGGCUAAAACUCAAAGGAAUUGACGGGGCCCCGCACAAGCGGCGGAGCAUGCGGAUUAAUUCGAUGCAACGCGUAGAACCUUACCUGGGUUUGACAUGGAUCGGGAGUGCUCAGAGAUGGGUGUGCCUCUUUUGGGGUCGGUUCACAGGUGGUGCAUGGCUGUCGUCAGCUCGUGUCGUGAGAUGUUGGGUUAAGUCCCGCAACGAGCGCAACCCUUGUUCACUGUUGCCAGCACGUUAUGGUGGGGACUCAGUGGAGACCGCCGGGGUCAACUCGGAGGAAGGUGGGGAUGACGUCAAGUCAUCAUGCCCCUUAUGUCCAGGGCUUCACGCAUGCUACAAUGGCUGGUACAGAGAGUGGCGAGCCUGUGAGGGUGAGCGAAUCUCGGAAAGCCGGUCUCAGUUCGGAUUGGGGUCUGCAACUCGACCUCAUGAAGCCGGAGUCGCUAGUAAUCGCAGAUCAGCAACGCUGCGGUGAAUACGUUCCCGGGGCUUGUACACACCGCCCGUCAAGUCAUGAAAGUUGGUAACACCCGAAGCCGGUGGCCUAACCGUUGAGGGGGAGCCGUCGAAGGUGGGACUGGUGAUU